GAUGAACGCUGGCGGCGUGCCUAAUACAUGCAAGUCGAGCGAACGGACGAGAAGCUUGCUUCUCUGAUGUUAGCGGCGGACGGGUGAGUAACACGUGGAUAACCUACCUAUAAGACUGGGAUAGCUUCGGGAAACCGGAGCUAAUACCGGAUAAUAUUUUGAACCGCAUGGUUCAAAAGUGAAAGACGGUCUUGCUGUCACUUAUAGAUGGAUCCGCGCUGCAUUAGCUAGUUGGUAAGGUAACGGCUUACCAAGGCAACGAUGCAUAGCCGACCUGAGAGGGUGAUCGGCCACACUGGAACUGAGACACGGUCCAGACUCCUACGGGAGGCAGCAGUAGGGAAUCUUCCGCAAUGGGCGAAAGCCUGACGGAGCAACGCCGCGUGAGUGAUGAAGGUCUUCGGAUCGUAAAACUCUGUUAUUAGGGAAGAACAUAUGUGUAAGUAACUGUGCACAUCUUGACGGUACCUAAGCAGAAAGCCACGGCUAACUACGU
rnacentral:rRNA from 1 species